CUCAUAUUAUCCUUAUAACAAUGCUUCAGUUAGUACAAGUAUUAUUAUUUCUCUUUUACAGAUGAGGAAGCCGAGACUCAGAGGACUCGAGUGAUUUUUUUCCCCCAAGGUCACAUAAUCUCUGGAUCUCUGGCGUCUGGUUACUGGAACAUACAGGAACAUAGUUUCAGAGUUCAUGAACCAGUGCCUAGGAGAAUCAUGGAACUCAACCUUCCAACAAUGACAUCACUCCAAGGAAGAUAUUGUGAUAGAGGCUGGCACUAAAGAAAAAGUGCCAGACUGAAGAGUAUAUGGAAUUGAUCACCUUGAUGGGGGAGGGGCUCCAGGAGUGAAUUUCUGGAGGAGAGAAGACUCUGGCUGGGAGAGCAGUGUGGGUCUCUCUGUCUUGAGAAGUCAGAGAGAAGGUGGAUAAAGACUUUCUCCUGAGGGUUACCCAUUUUCCUACUGAUGACUAGAAAUCUUCCCCCUCCCCAAACUUC
rnacentral:lncRNA from 1 species